rnacentral:misc_RNA from 1 species
GUGAAUCAUCAAAUUUUUGAACGCAAAUUGCACUCUCCUCGGAGAGUAUGCCUUUUUGAGGGCAAGCCUUUAAAAAUCGCCAUCGUUGCUGUUUCCCGGUGGGGUUCGUCGGAAAUUGGGUCAUCUUAAAUCCUUUUGUUUUAAGCGACUUAAAAUUUCCUUUUGGUUCCUUGAACGUUUCUAAGAUCUAUUUCUUUACACGUUUAGGGUAUCGUUUUUUCCUAGACGUAACAAU